AUUUAGUGUAUUGGGUUUUUAAUGGGUUAUCCGGCUAAGACCUAUUUAUUAUAUGGGUUUAGCUAAAAUAAAUGAUGAUCCUAAUAACCCAUUUAAGUUUUUUUCUUUAAUCAAAAACGUUGUCGUUUAAUUUUUAUAUACAGGUUUUCUAAUUAUAUCAAAAAAAAAAAAAAAAAUUUGUCUACUCUUUCUCUCCGCAGCGGAGACUCCGCCUAAUCUCAAUCUCUUCUACAAGCAUCGAAGGAUCAGUAAACGUUAAUGCUCUUCUUGUGUCGCUUUACUUCUUCAUCAUCACUGCAAGUUCCAGUUACAACAUGGAUCAGUUAAUAGACAUGAAUGAAGAAGUUGCUCUAGCUGAGAUAAAUUUAGAAGAUACACAACCACAAGCACAGCAAAGUGAAACUCAAGUAGGGGAAUCAACUCAAGCUCCACGCAAGAGACGUAAAACAUCGCCCGUUUGGGAAGACUUUGUGUCAGUGGGAGUAGAAGAAGAUGGCAAAGAAAGGGCCAAGUGUUUGCAUUGCGGUACGAAGUUAGUGACACGUAGUGAAACGAAUCACAGCUUUGGGACUCAUCAUCUUCAACGCCACUUGGAAACUUGUUCAAAGAAGCCUUUGAAGGAAGCUAAACCUGCAUAUGAUCAAAAGAUAGAUCGUGGUCUGAUUAGCGAGGUAAUCAUAUAUCAUGAUCUCCCUUUUAGAUAUGUAGAAUAUGAGAAGGUCCGAGAAUGAGACAAGUAUUUAAAUCCAGAGUUUCAGCCUAUUUGUAGACAGACCGCUGCUGCUGAUGUUUUUAGGAAGUAUGAAAUAGAAAGAAAAAAAGCUGAAAAAAGUGUUUGCUAGCCACCUUGGUCGGGUUUGCUUCACUUCUGAUCUAUGGACAUCUCGUCCUCAUAACUUAGGAUAUAUUUGUCUUACUGUGCACUUCAUUGAUUCAAUGAUGGUUGGAACUUGCAUAGUAAGAUUCUGGCUUUUUGUGAUUUUAAGCCGCCACACACAAGAGAAGAAAUCGCUAAUAAGAUUUUUGAGUGUAUGAUGGAAUGGAGUUUAGAUAAGAAGGUGUUCUCUAUUACCUUGGACAAUGCUACUAACAAUGAUAGUAUGCAGAGAAACCUCAAGGAAAAGCUUCAGAUGAUUAGUGGUUCUGGCUUGUUACGUGAUGGCAAAUUUUUGCAUAUAAGAUGCUGUGCUCACAUUCUGAAUUUGAUAGUAAAAGAAGGCUUAGAAUUAGCAAAGGAUUUUCUGUAUAACAUCAGGGAAAGUGUUAGAUACGUGAAGGCGUCUCAGACAAGAAUUCAAGUGUUUGCAGUGUGUGUAAAGCGAGUGAGGAGUGGAAGUGGAGCUGGUUUAUCACUGGAUGUUCCUACCAGGUGGAAUUCUACGUAUGAAAUGCUAGUUAGGGCAUUGAAGUUCAGGAAAGCAUUUGAAAACUUGGAUGUUGUUGACAGAAACUACCAUUCAUUACCUUCUGAACACUACAAGAAAAAUGGCUUUUCUUAGCGGCCGAAAAACGCUAUCUAAAGAUACCAUAGCGUUUUAACAAGCGUUAUAUCAUCGCCCGUUAUAAUAGGUCACACACUUUAGAUAGCGGUUUAUUGCAUUGCUAUCAUAUUACGAGAUAUAAUAGCGUUUUUCUCUAUGCAAUAAAAUAUUCUUUUAUAGCAUUUCAUUUAUGCUAUUAUUUACAUAAUUAUAAAUACAUAUAUUAAUUUUUAUUUUUAAUAUUAUAAUUGCAAUUAACUAAAUGCAAUUAUUUUUUAGUAUGCUUUUAUACGAAAUAGAAAUAAUAAUAAUAAUUUUAUUAAUAAAUUACAAAAAUGUUGUAUUACACUAAACCGAAGCAAAAAAAAAAUCUAAACUAAACCAAAGCAAAAACAAACUACACAGAAGUAAGAAAAACACUAAACCAAAACAGAAAAACCUAAAUAUAAAUCUAAACCGCCGCAUCACGUCUCGUCAUCAUCAUCCGGCGCAUCACGCGGUAUCUCCUUUGUCUUCACUCUCUGGUGAGCAGAAGCCGCUAGCAACGACGCCGUACCUCUCCUGUCUUCAAGCUCACGACAACCACCAACUCUGCUCACGACCCACCUUCCUAUACCAAAAAAUCAAAACAAAAUCAGAGAGAGAGAAAGAGAGAGAGGUCUAUGUUGUCGGAUGGCGAUGGUGGUGACGAGUGGUGGUGGUGGUGGUGGUGGUGGUGUCGGACGGCAUUGGUGGUGACCAGUGAUGGUUUCAAAAGGAGGAGGUGACGAGCUUCACCAUAAAGAAGAAGAUUGCAGAGGACCAGAGGUUAGGAGAGAUGAAGAGAUGAGAUUGUGGAAAGAUUGAUAAUUUAGUUUAAGAUCUAUGAGGAAUCGCAAAGGUCGUGAGCCGUGAAAAACAAAAAAAAAAUAAAGAGAUAAUGAGAAAAAAGAAUAAUAAUAUCCGUUAGAUUUAAGGUCUAUCAACGGUGGUGAUUAAUAUUAUAGUUAUCUUCACCAUUUUGAAUUGGCUCCUCCUAUUGGUCAAGGUUUUUCCUCUUUGUUUUUUUUCUUUGUUGUACACUAUUUCUUUAAUGUUUGGUAUAUUUAAUUGUUGUUUUUAUUUUGUGGUUGAUAAUCUAGUUAUUAUUAUAACUAGAGAUUUUUCCCGGGCUACGCCCGGGGUUUUCUCCUAUAUUAUAAUUUUAUUUAGUUUAUUAUGGAUUUUGGAUUUGACUAAAAAUUUUAUACUUAGACUGAAUGUGAUAUAUAAAUUAUUAAACAAAUUUGCAAUUAUUUGUAUUGAUUUUGUUGACUAAAUUUUAAAAUUAUUAAAAUUUAUCUGUUUUUCUUUCAAUAUAUCAAAAUACAUAUAAGUUGGUAACCAAACUGAAUUAAAAAAAAUUAGUUCAAAUUCAAUUAUUCUUUUAUCUUGUUUAUUUGAAUUUUAUGAAAAUAUGGUCAAAAUGAGCAUAUAAUUCGAACAUUUUUAACGUUAAAAUCAGCCAAUAUAUAUAUUAAAAUUUUAAUAUUGAUUAUUUAUUAUUUGGUGAUAAGAAAAUCUAUAUGAAUUUGUUAUUAAGUGUUAAGGCAGUGAAGAAAUGAAGAACAAUUGAAAUCUAAAAGUGAUGUACAUUGAAAGAAUCCUUAAAUUAUGUCAAAUACUUUUGUUUCCAUGCAGCAAAACAAAAUAUUAAAAAUUAAAAUUAUAAUAAUAUUCUCUAAGAGCUAUUUAUUGAAAAUUUAUCAUUUUAUGUGUAUUUGAACUAUUGCAUUUUAUACUAUAUUAUAUUUAAAAUUUUGUAUAACUAAUUUGCAUUUUUUUUGUUAUUUUGUUGGCAGUUUAGAUUAUCUUAAUUGAAAAAGACAUAAUUAUAUCGUAAAUGAAUGAAUAUGAAGAACACAAUUCUCAAAUAAUGCACUUAAAACAAUAUUAUAGAUUAAGUUGCUAAUGUGAAAUCAAUUUUUGAACAUCUACAACCAUUUUAAUAUGUUUGAUUGUGUAUCAUUGAAUCUAUUAAAUCAGAUUCUAAGAAUUUGUAAAGUAAAAUGAAUUAGAAAUAUAUAAAAUAUAUUCUAAAUUAAAUAAAUAUGAUAUUUAGUUAUUUUUGUCAUAAUAACGUAUUUAGUUCAUUUUUUAUAUUUAUUUAUUAUUUUUAAUUGUUAACUUAUGAUUGAUUGUUUUUCUUAUACUGGUAUCAUCUUUUCGUAUAAAAGUGUGACAUAUAUGUUAGGACAAAAUAGUAAUUGGUUGAUUAACUGUCGUUUCUUAUCAAAAGUCUAUUAAUUAUUUUUGGAUAUUUUUUGUUUAUUAAAAUAAAAUAUUGUUUAUAUAUUUUUUAUCAAUCGAUAUGUGAUAUUAUUUAACUAUGGUUGGAUGUAGUAAUCAUGAUUUUGUGUUUUUUUAUUAAAAUAGUUCAUGAUUUUAAUGGUUAUAUUUUAUGUUUGUCUGUGUUAGUUUUUUGAAUUUUGGUGUUUUGUUACAUAAUGUAAUAUUUUAUAGAGUUUAUGAGUGAAUGAUGUUGAAAUAAUCUAUAGAUUGGUGCGCUAUUCAUUAUUUUGUGUGUUGGCUGUGGUUAUUUUAGGGAGUGUAUGUUUUUGAUAGAUAAUAUGUAUAAAUAAUUAAUUUUCAACUUGGUUUUUAAGGAAUUGAUACAGCUAUUAAUCAGUUUUUCAUAUGUUGCUUAAUUUUAAUUCUAACUAUUUUUACCACUAUUUUCAAAUUUUUACAUUGAUUAAGUUUUUUAUUUAAUUCACAUAUUUAAUUUUUUGUGGUUUUAAAUAUAUUUAAACUAUGUUAAUUUGUGGAGAACUAAUUGUUGUUUUUGUUUAGUUUUGAUUUUUUUCUGCAAAGACUCAUAAUGGAUAUAUGAUUUUAUAUAUUUAUUGUUCACUUUUGUACAUACAUGGCUUUUAAGCAUCAUCGUAAAAUAAAAAAAAAUCAAUUAUGAGUUUAAUUUUAAUAAUUGUAAUAUUAAUAAAUAUAAUACUUUAAUUUUAAUUUAAUAUUACAAUAAUAUUUUAUGAAAUUUAAUGGACUUUAAAUAGUUUUUUGUUAGACAAUAAGAAACUAAAUAUUUAAGAAUUAUUUAUAAAAGUUUAUAAAUCCAACCCCACCCCUUAAAUACUAAACUCCAAACUCAAAUGUUAGGAUAUUUUUGAUUGAAAACGUUUUUGUAAAAUGGUAUUAUUUUAAGAAAUUUAACUUGUUUUUUAAUUGGUUAUUUUAAAUCAUAUGUAGAUACCAUUAAAUGCUUAUAGCCUAAAAAAAGUUCUUAAUAAACCUUGUAAUGAUCGGAAGUCAUGUGGAAAGUAAUAAAACAUUUUUCCACAAAACUCUUAACUUAUGUUGGGAGAUAGAUACGUUGAUCUCAAGAAACCUGCUAUGUCAGUUCAGCUCUGCAUUCCCAAGUGUAUUGAGGUUUUGAAAAUUAAAUCUAGACAUGGUUUCAAUGUUUACGAUUGACGAUGUACAAUUGCGCAGGCUUUGCUUGAUGUAAGAUGCCAAUGCGUGGAUGAUAUUUUCUGUGCAACUCCACAGGAUGUUUAAAUUCAAUUUAUGAAUCAAGUCACACUGGUAAAACUAAAUUGGGUCGUUCUAAUCUGUCUGUUAGUUGUGCUGUUUAAUAAUUCAUCUUACAACAUGAGGUACACUUAUCUUCAUUUUAAAGUCUUAAGAUUUAUACCUUCGGCUGUAAAAAAAAUUGAUACCAUCGAAACAAAAAAUUUGAAACCAAAACUAAACCGUAAUAAGAAAAUAACCAGAUUACGCUGGGUUCGGUGAGAACGGAAAGUACUACUUUAUUAUUGGACUCAUACUUAAAAUUCUAGAUAGCUAAUGGGACCGCAACCUCUGUUUAUAACUCAUAAACUCCUGCGUUGGAUCUCUUAAAUGCAAUGGGUCUUCUUGGGCAUCAGAAAUUUCUUGGGAGCAGAAGUUUGAGGAGCUUGUGUUGUUGGGUCCACCGGACUGUCUUGAUGAUUUCAGAGAAUCAAACAUAUAUAGCUAUAAAACGAACUAAGUGGACGAACCUGCGGUGGAGAGUUCAGUACGUAAUUGUUCAGUUCAGCAAGAGUAACUGUUUCAUUUUUUCGCACAUCUCCAUACUUGGAAGAUGUGAAGCUGUAACCAUCAUCAGAUCCAGAUAAACUACUAAAAAAAAUUAAUCCGUCUUUGGAGAACAGUGUGUAUCAGAUUUCAUAAACAACAGUUAGUAUGGAAUCUCUUACGCUGCUAGAAAACUCUGGCCGGUGAGACAUUCAUUGCCAAAAUAGAAGUGUGUUCCAGAAGUAGUAUCAGGAAAAGCCAACCUGCAAUACUCAACAUGAUCAAUCAUUUGUACCAAAACAGAGUUAAUCAGUAAUGAAGAUAAACACAAUGAAGCUUGCAAUAGUUUUACUCACAAGCCGUUUCUACAGCAGUGCUUCUAGUCCUUGAAAAUUCUGAACUUUCAGAAGCGUUAAAUAAGUCAUCGCGUUAAAUAAGCUGCGAUAAUAACCAAAAGAAGAAUUUUGAAGAUACGGGAAAGCCAAGAGAGAGAUGGAUACAACAUAAGUCCUUCACUGUUGCUUUGUAAAAAAGAGGACUGCAGGAGAGAGAUUAUACCUUUUCAACCUCUUCAUUUGGCAUAUCUGCAAUAAGAAGUCCAGCAUCACCAUAAAGCAGCUUAAAAAACAUUCCAAAACAUAUGCAAAAAC